rnacentral:tRNA from 1 species
GCCGCGGUGGUGGAACUGGCAGACACGCAGUCUUCAGGAGGCUGUGGGAGAAAUCCUGUGCGAGUUCAAAUCUCGCCCGCGGCACCA